CCUUCCGUCAAUAACUGCCGUUAAUUAUGUGUAAAAUGACGUGAUUGCCCUUCCUCACUCUCCCCAUCCUCUCUCAAACCCAUUACACAUUAUUCUCUCCGCCCAUCUCUCAAAUCUUCCAUGGGAAUGUUAUCAACCUCAUCCUUAAUCGCGGUCGUUGCCACCUCCACCAUUUUCUGCACAAUUGCCACCACCUAAGGCUGUGAGAAGAGAGGUGAAGAGAACAUAUCAAGGUUUGAGGCAUGAACUUCUUUUUCAUCUUGGUUGAUUGGUUCAUUUGGUAUGGAACUUCGAAGUUCUUUGAUUUUCUUGGUUGAAUUGCGAAUCUAUCAUGGAGUGCAACAGUAGUUCGACCACUAGAACCAUGUCUUGGACGCCUAAGAUUUGCAGAGAGAAAAUUUGUUUCAAUGUAAUAUAUUUGUAUGGAUCAUAUUUCCCAUGGUGGUGGUCGAAGAUGCAGUCAUGAGGGUUGCACUCGGGCGGCAAGAGGGAAAUCAGGAUUGUGCAUUCAACAUGGUGGUGGGAAGAGAUGUCAGAAAGAAAAUCGCACAAAAGGUGUUGCAAGGCCAGUGGCCGUUGGUGCCAAGAUGUGAGAUGCACAAAAGAGGCUCAAGGGAGGUUGGUGGUUCUUUCAUGGAGAGAGGAGUGAAAGGGAAUAAAGUUAGGGCUUAAGGAUAUUUUUGGAAUAAAUUCUAUACUCUUUACUUUGAAA